CAGUAGCCGCGGUAAAACGUAGGGUGCAAGCGUUAAUCGGAAUUACUGGGCGUAAGGCGUGCGCAGGCGGUUAUAUAAGUCAGAUGUGAAAUCCCCGGGCUCAACCUGGGAACUGCAUUUGAGACUGUAUGGCUAGAGUGUGUCAGAGGGGGGUAGAAUUCCACGUGUAGCAGUGAAAUGCGUAGAUAUGUGGAGGAAUACCGAUGGCGAAGGCAGCCCCCUGGGAUAACACUGACGCUCAUGCACGAAAGCGUGGGGAGCAAACAGGAUUAGAUACCCCAGUAGUCCCUGUCUCUUAUAC
rnacentral:rRNA from 1 species